rnacentral:rRNA from 1 species
GUUUUACCUUGACGAAUUGUAGUUUAAAGAAGUGUUUUCUGUUGAAGUUUUGGUAAAAGUUCUUUGGAAUAGGACAUCAUAGAGGGUGAGAAUCCCGUAUUUAACCAUUAUUUUCAGCUGUGUGAUACACUUUCAAAGAGUCGGAUUGUUUGGGAAUGCAGUCCAAAAUGGGUGGUAAAUUUCAUCUAAAGCUAAAUAUUGGCGAGAGACCGAUAGCGAACAAGUACCGUGAGGGAAAGAUGAAAAGAACUUUGAAAAGAGAGUUAAACAGUACGUGAAAUUGUCAAAAGGGAAGCGUUUGACACCAGUGUUGUUUUCUCGAAAAUCAAUUAAAAAAAGUUGGAUUUUGUGUUGUAUUGACCUUAACAGCUUUCUGCACUCUUUUCCUGCUUUUUUU